UGUCCCCCAGGACCUCUCGCCCCGCCCCGCACGGGCCCCCGCCCGCGUGACGGGGCCUCCUGGGGGUUCGGGGCCAAAGCUGCUUUGUAUUCCCGAAGGGGCCAGGCACCGCACGCCGCCGGCCUCUUCCCUCCCCAGCCUGCUGAUGCGGGCGUUCGGGGUCCCCCUGCCCGCUCCGCUGCCUCUCGAAGCCCCCGAGGUGCUGUCCCCCCUAGAGACGGGCGGCCCUGACCCUCAGCCAGCGUGCACCCCGCGAGGCUUCUGCGAGCUUCCCCGGCCCCGCCUGCCCUGGCCCAGCUCGGCUGUUGUGUGCCAAGCUCCGGGUUGCUGAGUGGGAGGAAAGAACCCGGGGCCACGCUGGUGCACAGGCGAAGUGCUGCUCACACGUGCGCGUUCGCGUCACACAACGAGGGCACCCGCACUUUCGAGGCUCAUCCAUCCAGGAAAAACUCACCGGCGCCCUCUAUGUGCCGGGCACAGUGCUGGGGCCUAGGAACGCCAAGGUGACCCCAAGGUCACGGCUCCCUCCCAGCGGAAUUCACAUCUUAGGGGCCUCGGACGCCAGAGAGGUGGGUGACUCAAAGCUUGGAGGCGCCUUUUUAAGGAAAAAUGAGGCACAGUCCUUCCAAACCUCACACAGAACCCAUCGCACCCUCCGGACAACCCAGGAAGCAGGAGCUGUUUUCUCACGUUUUUUUUUAAAGGAAGCCUAGGACAAAGAGAGGGCCCCACAGACGCUGUCAGUUUGCUGCCUGUUUGAAUUAGCCACUCCACACUGGAUGGUGUGACUGCACCACAGCCUUCGAGAAGACUGAGCAAGAACACACCGCAGCACCUCUUCACGGGCAUUUUCUCUCUCCUCCACAUUCACCUCAAGAAGACUUUUUCAUACCACUUCUUCCAUAUGCUUUUUCAUGGAAUCUGGUCUCUACUGGCCACAUUUUUGAGGGUAAACAAGACAAUAUGUUGUGAGAUGGUUUGUGAAGAAAUAAUCGUGUAGGGUUAGACACUUCCAUGCAAUAGAUGAGGAGCAAUUUGCUGCUUUUAUUUCCAUUACCUUUACUUGUGGCAUUCAUGGUGCAGAGAUGAUAGAGGGUGGUAGCCUGCGCCAGGUGAGGAAAUAAAAAGGGGCUCAAGUAUAAGCAAACAGGAGUGGAAUGAGACGGCAGUGAAAAUUAUGACCAUAAGGACAAAGUGAAAAGGGGUGAGUCAAUCUAGUUGGGUUUAGAAACAAAAGGGGGAAUAUUUCAAGUCUUCACUAAACUCAGUUGAGGUGGUACAGAAAAGAAUGCACACAUAGAAGAAAAGUCCUAGAGUUAUGAGUCUGCUUGGAAUGCACCUAGAUUAAAACUAUGAUUUCAGAGACGGAAAGCAUAAUGGAAAGGAAUUUCAAAAGAACACUGAGCAGUACGUGAGAUGUCACUGAGUGGAGAUAAUACUACCCUGACAGUAGUGAGUCAAAACUUAUCCCAAGUUUCCUUGCUUUAAAACAGUGACUUCCAACUUUUGGAAUGCAUUAGAAUUGCCUGGAGGGUGAGAUGCCGCCGCCGCCGCCGCUGCUGCUCCUGGUCCAAGGACCACCAUUCUAGAAAAUCACUUCGUGGGUAGAGAAACUUGGCUCUAACGGGACAGUUGAAGACGACACCAAGUUGUUAAGCUUCAAGUCUAUCAAAACAUCAUGAAAUAUACAAUUUUCAGCUACAUAUUGAAAUCAGCAGAGUUCUUUCAAAUAAGAGCUUUGUGCUUUUCUAACAAACUUCAGAUAAUAUGCUAAAUUUCCAAAUUGAGCUAUUUGAAUUUUGGAAUUACCUCUGUUGUCAGAGGUAAAAGUCUGGUAUUUUAAAAAGUUGCUUCCUGUCUUGAGAAACUAUGAACUCUUAAAAUAAGUUUCCCAUGGGAAGGGCUCCAGAGGGAAGAACAGAAGCCAUUGUCUUCCCUCUGUCAGAUGAAAUGGUCGUGCGUCUGAAUGCUAAAUAAAUGAACAAAUAAAGAGUAAGUGCAUAGAUGAGAGCACCCUUCAGAUCUACAAAGGCAAAGCAAUUUAAAACAAUGUGCACAUCACAAUGGUAAUAGCAGAAUUUAAUAACAUGUAUUAAUCAUAUAAACAGGGAAACUCUGUUCCUCCAAGGCCUGUAGUCCAUAGUUUUGUAAUGAGCUUUGAUCCACCUAAGUCUCUAUAUAUUUAUGCAUAUAUAUUUCAUGUAUAAUUUUUGGAACCUAGAACUAUGCUGUCUAAACUAGUGAUUCCCACAUAGCAAGCAUCAGAAUCACAUGGAGAGAUUAAUAAUAAAACACAGACUUGGGAGCCCACCCCCUGGGUAUCUGAUUCACUAGAUCUGGAUUGGGUUCAAGAAUCUCUUUUGAACAAGUUCUCAGGUGAUGCUGAUGUGCUUGUUUGAGAACGUGCUUUAGGAAUUGCUGGUCUACUUCUGUGGUUCGCAGCUUGGCCAAAUACUAGAAUUAUCUGGGGAGGUUUUUUAAAAUGUUAGGUCAAGUCUCAAAGUCAUAAUCUCCAGAAAUUUUAAAGGUUCUCUGAUGAUUUCAAUAUUCGGCCAAAGCUGAAGAGUUCGAAAACUUUAGCACCUCCCAUAAUCACCUGAGACCUUACUGAAACACUGGUGGUGGCCACUGUCCUGGGAUUCCUAAGUCUGUAAGUCUGGGUUGAGCACAAAAGUGUGCAUGCCAGUCCAGUUCCCAGGAGGCACUAUUGGUCUAGGAACUAUACUCUGAGAACCACUGGGUAAAGCCAGUCUCAACGCUGGCUGAACUUGGAAUCUCUUGGGGAUGUGGUAGAAAAUACAGGAGUUAGCUCCUCCUCAACCCUUCCUUGCCCCUCAAAAAACACCCUAGGAAUUAAAACUUAAUUAGUUUGCGUUGCAGUCUGGCAAAAGUGAGCUUCUGAAGUUUGGGUCUCAGUCACUUUCUCAUCGAGUGGACAAAAUAACUAACACACCCACCUGCCCAGCCCCCAGCUUAGGUGGAAGGUGCAGGCCAUGGUUGGCUCCAAGGCAAAACCAGCUUGUUAGAAGGGCCUGGAGGGAGGACAGCUGCUGUCCCCCGGCAGCCAGGAAGCAGAGAGAGAAGGUCGGAGCGGAAUGGGAUACUCACCCAUCCAGGUCACACCAGCGACCUGCUCCUUCCAACCAGGCCCCACCUUCUAACGGCUCUGAACGCUUCGGAUGGUGAAUCCACGGAUGAGCAUAGUGCCCCGACACUCCGACGGCCUUCCAAAGGCCCAGCCUCUGAAAACCUGAGUCUUUGGGGGGAUGUUCUAGAGCUACACUGUAACAGCCUCCCAGAAGCCUGAGGAUCACCGAGAAACCAAGCAAGGUGAAAAGGCAUGGACGCAUCAUGUGCAAAGCUGGCUCUUCGCGUGAGUUGAACAUGACCUCUUCCAAUCAGAAUGUAUUUUAAUCAUUAUAUGCAGCAGAUACCUUUGUUGAAGAAAAAUACUACAUUGAAAUAAAUGUAAGAUUAUGACAGUUCUUUUUUAAUUUGAGAAAUAACUAGGUUACUCCAGGAGGGGAUUCUCUCCUCCCCUUUCAUUGCUAUAAAUACACAUUUUUAAACUAUAACAUGGUAACCCACCCCUUUGGCGAUCUGUAGCUAGUCGUGUAAACAGAAAUGUUAUAACUGUUAUUAUAAAAGCAGUGUCUAUAAAUGAGAAUUUAUGCUUACAUCUAAAUAAACUUGAAACCUGAUCAAGCA